rnacentral:tRNA from 1 species
AGGAACUUAGGUUAAUACUAAACCAAGGGCCUUCAAAGCCCUAAAUAUGACGUCACACAUAGAUCCUG